UACCAACAGGAAAAUAUUGUUUACGCACUACUUUAUAUUGUACUAUAUUAGUAUAGGUGUUAUUCGUAUACUACAGUAUACAUUGUUGGGCAUGGUAUAUUGGACAAUUUUUUUGUCAAUAAUCUUUUAGUCACAUAAAUCAGACGAGUAUUGUUUUUGAGUUCACAACUUCAUUGCACGAAUCGUAACAUAUAUCUAUGGUGUCGGUCUCUAAACAAAAUAUAUUAUUCUACAUUGUAGUAGUGGGCAUUAUCAUGAAGAUUAGCCGGAAGUGCCGCCACGGUGGCGACGAUGACGACGACGUCUGUUUCAUGGCAAAAGUAAACAAGGGCGCGCAGAAAAUCAUGGUCGCGGUACCAGAUCAGCUAGCGGUUGUGUUCAUGUGGUCCCUGUUUACGGGAGUGUUCAUCGUUUUCCUGAUGACGGCCACAUGCGUUAUUCUGAGGAUCGAGUCGCCAUCUUUUCCGUCAGCGGCUCUGCUGACGUCACGCCGAGAACGCUGUCCGACCGCGUCCAAACAUUCGCUGGUGGCCAGGCUGGACAUCGACCUCCGUGACGUGCACUAUGUUUUCUUGGACGACGACGACGACCGCAUCCCACAGCUGUCAGCUUGUUCACUGGAGUCAGCCUUGAACGCCGGUCCAGGCGACGGUAGCGGUCGCGUAAACGUGUUCGUCGUUGGUGGCAUCAAACGACCCUUAUUGAAUCACAAUCGAACACUUUCGGAGGUGUCGAUGUCGUCAACCCUGGCUGAUCUGAUGGCCACCUACGGAGACGCCCGGUUGAACGUGUCGCAUGUCAGUCUAGAGGAGUGUCUGGAGUGUUCACCGUUUCAAGGUAUGGACCUAAGCGGUCGCCAGACACUCGCCAAAUUCGUGGUGCAGCUGGUGGUGUUGUGGCAGUUUGGCGGCACUGUGCUGGACAGUAGCGUGGUGGUGGUCCGCGGAGGCGUGUACCGAGCGACGGGUGACGCCGUCCAGUACGGCGAUCGGACCAUCAGCUCGCCGGUCGCGUGCCACGCUUUCGUUUACAAAGUUAUGCUGAGCGCCAAGAGGUACGCGCUUAGCGGCGAGCCGUUCACGUCGGACAUCGGCUGGAAGAUAUUGAACGACUCGGCCACCGAUGUGGAUGCCCGACCCUUGGCCGACUGGGUAAUGUGCCACGUUGGCGUGGUGGCUGACGACCGCUGUUACUACGCAGAGGCGAUCGCCGAAUCGCACGGUUAUCGCUGUCCAGUAGUGGUCGACGAACCGUCGUUGCCGAGGAUCCAGGAAACCACUCACGUCUCAUCGACAGACGCAGUCGAGGACGACCAAAAAGAACAUAAACGCAAUACAGCAGCCGAUGAGCGAGUUUCCACGGAUAUCGUAAUUUAAGUGUAGAUACAACCAUGGAUGUCAAAUUGUAAAUAUUUAUUGCUGUAUGCCUAAUGACUUAGGUCAACAGUGACAACCUAGUCAACAGUGGUCCUACAUUAAAGUUUAUGAUGUUCGUACUUCUCGACGAAUACAAAAUUCUGUGUUGAAUAUGUUGAGAUGCCAGCGACCAUACCACGUUGAAUACACCAGUUCUCGUCUGAUCACUGAAGUUAAGCAACGUCGGGUGUAGUUAAUACUUGGAAGGGUGACCGCUUGGGAACACUACGUGCCGUUGACAUUUUUUUAUGCCUUUGCCUCUUGAACUUCAAACGCUUGCGCCGAAAGUAAAAUUUUUUAGACCAGUUGAAGAGUUGGAAAAUUAUUUUUUUCAGUUCAGCGAAUAGUAAACUUUUUGUUCUGACCGAUUGCAAGAAAAUUGAAAAUCCCGGACUUGCAUUCCUAACACACCGAAAGAGGCAACAGAAAAAAACAUAAUAUUUACAAAACAUUUUGUAAAACCUUGAGUUUCGCAGAAUAGGAAAGGGUUUUAACUUUUAAGCCAUUUGCCUUGACAUUUAAGCCUCCUUUUUUUACACAUUACAAGAUGAAUUCGUAUCAGAUGAAAACUAAAGCCUUUAGAGAGAGCAAAACCAGGACAUUUUAGAAACUUUGUCGAAAGUGGAGCAGAAACUGAAGAAACCUAUAUAUUAUACAUAACCAGGUAAGAUAAUAUUAUUUUCUAACUUAAAACUUUAGUCGAAGGUCUAACGAAAAAUCAUUAAAAUUCACACAUCCCUUGUCUAACCUAACAUACUAUAAUAAAUAUCAUUUGUUGAAUUUUGUUCUACAUAACUAUUAAUUACUAACUAUAGUGAUGAAGUACGUUAGUAUUGAAUAUUAAUCAGUAGUUACUAAUUACCACACCAUUAUCUUUGAUAGUUGUUAGUGGUUACCUUCGUGUUUGUAUAUUUAAACUAAAUAUAAUUUUAAUAUUAAUGUUUAUUCGUUCUAAACAUUAAAAUAUAUAAUUACCUUACAGAUAAUAAUUUGCAUUAUCAUAUCGAGAACUGAAUCUUAUUUAAUUAUACAUAAG